UGGGAGCACUGGUGGUAGUAAUAGAGGGUUCGAUUAUGGCUCAGAUUGAACGCUGGCGGGAUGCUUUACAUGCAAGCUCUAACGGCACGGACUUCGGUCUGGCGGCGAGCAGAACGGGGUGAGUAAUGUAUCGGAACGCUCAGUAGCGGGGAUAACUACGCGAAAGCGUAUUAAUACCGCAUACGCCCUUCGGGGGAAAGCGGGGACCUUCGGGCCUCGCACUAUUAGGAGCGGCCGAUAUCGGAUUAGCCAGUUGGUGGGGUACAACGGCUCACCAAGGCGACGAUCCGUAGCUGGUUUGAGAGACGACAGCCGCACACUGGGAUCGAGACAUGGCCCUGACUCCACAGAGGCAGCAGUGGGAAUUUUGGACAACAGAAAACCCUGAUCCAGCCAUCUCCAAGUGUGUGCGAUGAAGGCUCGGGUUGUAAAGCACUUUUGGCAGGAAAGAAAUGGCACGGGAUAAUACCCCGUGCAACUGACGGUGUUCAGAGAAUAAGCACUCAAUAACUACGUGCCAGCAGCUGCGUAACAUGCAGGUGUAAAGCGUUAACCGGAAUUACUGGCGGAAGGCAGGUUGUCUGGAGUUAAGAUGUGAAAUCCCAGAGCUUAACUUUGAACUGCAUUUUUAAUCACUGAGCUAGAGUGUGUCAGAGGGAGGUGAAUUCCGCGUGUAGCAGUGAAAUGCGUAGAAUGCGUGAGGAACACCGAUGGCGAAGGCAGCCUCCCGAUAACAUCACUGACGCUCAUGCACGAAAGCGUGGGGAGCAAACAGGAUUAGAUACCCUGGUAGUCUACGCCCCAAACGAUGUCAAAUUUAGCUGUUGGGGCCUUCGGGCCUUUGCAGCGCAGCUAACGCGUGAAGUUGACCGCCUGGGAGUACGGUCGCAAGAUUAAACCGCGUGAAUUGAUGGGGACUCGCACAAGCGGUGGAUGAUGUGGAUUAAUUCGAUGCAACGCGAAAACCUUACCUACCCUUGACAUGUCUGGAAUCCCGAAGAGAUUUGGGAGUGCUCGCAGAGAACCGGAACACAGGUGCUGCAUGGCUGUCGUCAGCUCAAAUGAGAUGUUGGGCGUCCCGCAACGAGCGCAACCCCUUUGUCAUUAGUUGCUACGAAAGGGCACUCCAUCGAGACUUGCCGCGACAAACCGGAGGAAGGUGGGAUGACGCCAAGUCCUCAUGGCCCUUAUGGGUAGGGUCAGACGUCAUACAAUGGUCGGGACAGAGGUCGCUAACCCGCGAGGGGGAGCCAAUCCCAGAAACCCGAUCAGAACUGGAUCGCAGUCUGCAACCGACUGCGUGGAAGUCGGAAUCGCUAGUAAUCGCGGAUCAUGGCUGUCGCGGUGAAUAUGUUCCGCGUGGGUCUUGCACACACCGCCCGUCACACCAUGGGAUGGUUUCACUGGUAGGGAGAAGUUAGCCUAACCGUAAGGAGGGCGAUUACCACAGGAUUCAUGACUGGGGUGAAGUCGUAACAAGGUAAU
rnacentral:rRNA from 1 species